AAGAGACAGCAGUAGCCGCGGGAAAACAGAGGGUGCGAGCGUUAAUCGGAUUUACUGGGCGUAAAGCGUGCGUAGGCGGCUUUUUAAGUCGGAUGUGAAAUCCCUGAGCUUAACUUAGGAAUUGCAUUCGAUACUGGGAAGCUAGAGUAUGGGAGAGGAUGGUAGAAUUCCAGGUGUAGCGGUGAAAUGCGUAGAGAUCUGGAGGAAUACCGAUGGCGAAGGCAGCCAUCUGGCCUAAUACUGACGCUGAGGUACGAAAGCAUGGGGAGCAAACAGGAUUAGAUACCCCUGUAGUCCCUGUCUCUUAUAC
rnacentral:rRNA from 1 species